AGCCCCCCCCCCCCUCUUGGCGUUUUCUGGUGAUUUCUGCACACUUAGACACUUUCUGAGCUGUCCAACCCAGGACAAAGACGUCCCAUCUGCAGAUAGGCGUUCGGAGGACAGAACACACACCCUCAACACCACACAGCAGCACUACAGACAUGUCGGACUCUGAGACCGCCGCUGCCCCCGCCGAGGCCCCCGUCCCUGCUGCUUGUGCCAGCAUCAAAGCUGACCUGGACAAAUGUGUGGCAGAGAAGGGAGGCGAGGGGUGCAAAGAUCUGAUGGAGGCCUUUGCUGCUUGUGUGAAGAGUGCAGCUGAGGGGACGUCAUGAGGGGUCGUCCUCCAACCUCAUAUGGUCCACUGCACUGAGUCCUCCAAGUUCCCAGCAUUCCCUUCUGCACAACAGCACUGGACUGAAUGAUGACAACGAUGAUGGUGAUCAUGGCGCGACAAACAUUGUGUUGGUUCGGGCUGAAUCCGGGAUCUGGUGGCAGUAACCACAAUUUCCUCCCCCUGUCCUUCCCCCUGUUUUAGGCUUAUCUGGUGUCCCUCAGUCUUGCCUCCAUUCCCCUUCUCCCUCUUUUGCUGACGUACAGCACAUCAACUUGUAGACAAUUCCAGAGAGCUGAUGGGCUGUAAUGUAAAUUGUCCACUUCAGAUGAAUACUUAUAAAUGGAAAUAAAAGUAUCAUAUAAUUGGUAUAAAAACUGUU